CCUACGGGAGGCAGCAGUGGGGAAUUUUGGACAAUGGGCGCAAGCCUGAUCCAGCAAUGCCGCGUGAGUGAAGAAGGCCUUCGGGUUGUAAAGCUCUUUUGUCAGGGAAGAAACGGUGAGGGCUAAUAUCCCUUGCUAAUGACGGUACCUGAAGAAUAAGCACCGGCUAACUACGUGCCAGCAGCCGCGGUAAUACGUAGGGUGCAAGCGUUAAUCGGAAUUACUGGGCGUAAAGCGUGCGCAGGCGGUUUUGUAAGUCUGAUGUGAAAUCCCCGGGCUCAACCUGGGAAUUGCAUUGGAGACUGCAAGGCUAGAAUCUGGCAGAGGGGGGUAGAAUUCCACGUGUAGCAGUGAAAUGCGUAGAUAUGUGGAGGAACACCGAUGGCGAAGGCAGCCCCCUGGGUCAAGAUUGACGCUCAUGCACGAAAGCGUGGGGAGCAAACAGGAUUAGAUACCCUGGUAGUCCACGCCCUAAACGAUGUCUACUAGUUGUCGGGUCUUAAUUGACUUGGUAACGCAGCUAACGCGUGAAGUAGACCGCCUGGGGAGUACGGUCGCAAGNUUAAAACGUUAAUGAAUUGACGG
rnacentral:rRNA from 1 species